rnacentral:lncRNA from 1 species
AUCGACGAUGUAAUUGCUAGUUAUUGGCUACCAGUACAGAAUGCUCCAGCACGUACAACUCCCUCUGCGGAAGAAAAGAAUAGUUACAUUUGUCAGAACUCAGAUGUACCUCUCUACAAGCUCCUCCUUUUUUUCUGAAAUUUGGUGAUUUGGGUUGAUAAGAUCAACUAAGCAAGUGGUCUACUGGAACACCAGCUGUAGCCUGCUCACGCGGCCCAUUACGCGCGGUUGGAAAAGUCACACGUAUAUUUGCGCGGACGAAAAACGACAGCAUAGAUAGUUUAUGAAUAUUAAACUCGUGAAGGAUAGCAUUCCACGUAUACUAUUUUUUUUCGAAUACAAACAUGUGUAGAUCAAAUAUGUAUUCUAGGGGAGACAAGGCAUAUUCACUAUGACGGACGAGCUUUGAGAUGGUUUAAUUAACCAUACACUUCAAUAAGUAUGGUCUAUUAUGUGACACAUAGUCAAUUAAUUAUGCAAUACAUAAACUGUGGUUAAUUACUCAAUCAUGCAUUCUACUACUAGUAUGUGGCAUGUAGUUCAUUGUCAUGGCAUCCAGGUAUAAGUGCUAGUACCUACUUGCAGGAAGGUAUAUUUAUUAACUUUAACAUUCAAUAUACAGUUGUACACGGAAAUAUUAUUCGCAGACUAGGAAGCACGGUAUAUCAUUUACACCUCCAGUCCAGAAAUUCUAUAUUAAGAUGUCCCCUGAUGUUCAUUGAUUACCAUAUAAUAACAAGCAAACUGCCAUGGGUAUUAAUGAACAUCUAUUAGUAGUAUCAGUUUACUCCAAGAGUACGGAGCUGCGUACUGGAUUAAGCAGUAUAGAUGUAUGGUAUCUUUCUUCUUCAAUAUAGAUGUAUGGUAUCUUUCUUCUUCAAUGGACUGGCAUUCAGUACCGUUUCUUUAUUUCUCUAAUUUUCCCUUUAAUUGCAUAGAAAUCCAUACUGCUUGCCGUGCACGUUUAGCAAACAGCAACGGAAAUUUCCAGGUCAGGAUUUACAAGUGUAUCGUAUCCGUAGGCUGUAGUAAGCUAAGCACAUGAUGCGCGGUCGAAAAAGCCACGCGUAUAUUUCUGCAGAUGAAAAACGACAGCGGAAAUAGUUUAUCGACAGUAAGCUCGUGUUUUAAGCUAAAUCAAAAGGAGUAUAUGCGAUUGCCAUGCAAAUUCUUGUCUAAUCCACUUUCUUCAACCUUUCGUUCUCUUGUCAAUUUUUUGCUUUCCUACAUAUAUGAUUGAUCUGAAAUCUAGUAAAGGGAGUGAACAAUUAAUAUAGAGAUACCAUAUACAAACAUUAACACAGAGUCAAACAUGGAGAUUUUCAAUGAUAUUGCAUUGUCAGGUUUGAUAACAUUCUUUUGGAGCUCAAUUACCUUGAGCCAAAUCAGUUAAUUACUCUGCAUGCUUAAUUGACCCAUUUAAUUUUCCUUCCAUCGUCGCAUAUGUUCAAUCAUUCAACUUUCCAGGCCUAUAAUUUCCAUCUGUUCAACUAGGUUGCAGCUUCCAGAAGGUCUAUCUUUUCUCUAGUAUUUGCCACUCGUGGCUUAUUUUCUUCUUGUUAACUACUCAAUUAUACAUUGUACUCUGUGGCAUGUAGUACUACUUAAUUGUCGUGGAAUCCAGGUAGUAGUAUUUACUAACACAUUCAUUGUACAGUCAUACAUGGAACAAUAACAUUCGUGGACUAGGAAAUAUAUUAACAACCAAACUGACUAUGGGUAUUAAUGAAUGUGUUANNNNNNNNNNAUGUCCCCUGAUGGUCAUUGAUUACCAUAUAUUAACAAGCAAACUGCCUAUGGGUAUUAAUGAAUAUCUAGUAUCGGCUUACUCCAAGAGUACAGAGCUGUGUACCGGAUUAAGCAACCUAGAUGUACGGCAUCUUUCUCCUUCAAUGGACUGGCAUUCACUACUGUUUCUUUACUUAUCUGAUUUUCCCUUUAAUUGCAUAAAAACCUACACAGCUUGCCGUGCACGUUUAGCAAACAGCAAUGGAAAUUUCCAGGUCGGGAUUUGCAAGCGUAUCUUAUUCGUAGGCUGUGGUAGGCUAGGUGUACCAAUCUGUUGGAAAGAGAAACCUCCAAUCAACCCUACCAUUACACCAAGAUGAUGGUGAUACCUAUCCUUCACGAACAACCAACUUGUCCGAACGGAUAAAUUUCUCCCUUUCAAGAAUUGAAGCGGUGAUGGAGGAUAGGAAUAAAUCUAGAAAGUGAAACUGGUCUAUUCUCCAUCCCACUGGGACACCCAUGGCAUCUUCCUCUCCAUAUAGUUAAUCCAUGGACGUCGUGCAUGACAAGUAGCUCCUAAUUAUCAUGACACAUCACUCUUCCCCUUGCUGAUAAUGGACUAGUAGAACAGAAGAUGUGGUUGCCUUCUCUGCCUAGCAUGACUAUCAUGGGGGCCACAAUCCUGAAUUGUCAAUCCUAAUAACUUCUCAACAGUUCUCUCUUACUUUAUAUAUGGCCAUCACCUUCUAACUAACAUGCCAGUGUCACAAUCAAUGCAGCAUUAUACACAACCUGGCUGUAGUAGACCUUACAGAAACUACCACCAAAUAAAGUUAACAUUUGUACGUUUGCUGAAUGAACUUUGGCUAAGAUUGUGUGUCAUUUAAGAGCACCCUUCUGAUGGUGUUAUCCCAUCAUGGAUACUAAGUUUUCAUUAGAUAUACAUGUGCAAGAUAUUGUCUCCCAUUCCAUACAAAAUUAUACUAGUAUUACCAAUAAUGCCACAUUGAUAUUGACAUAUGGCACACACCUGAUCACCGUAUUAUUAUUGUGCUGGUUGAAAUAGAAGUGCAGAUGCCAAUAUUAUUUUUUUUGUGAUAUAUAAGCUUUCCUGUCCUAAAGCAGAAUGGCAUUUACAUCAGAGUGAUUGCAGUUAUUAUAGUAUGCCCUAGAGAGACAAUGUACCAGCAGCAAUACAUUAUGGCUAUGCCCCCAUGUCUCACUCCUGGACUUUUGGGGGAUCAAGCACUUCACUACGCCAUUUAACAUUAGUAUGUGUAUUAAUAAGGUCCUGUGUGUGUGUGUGCAUGUCAUGUGCUCCUUUAAGGAAUGGAAUAGGAUUUCAAGUCUGUGAUUAAAUGUUUGAUGUAGUCAAAGACACCAUCCUUUAAAGAGAAUCCUAACAAAAGGCACGCAUGAUGAACAAUUUAACUUGGCAAUAUUUAUAAGGGUUGGGCCCAUGCCUGUUGUCUUAACCACUAACAGCAAGAAAGUUCCACAUUUAGGUAAUCCUUUAAGGCUAAAUCAGCAAGACACUUGAAUGUCAGCAAACAUUUGUUUUAAUGCCAUAAAUAUACUCUAGGUAUCAUUGUCAUAUUCCUUCUACUCCAGCUUUGAAUUAAGUAACCCCAUAACUCAAAACACUGUUCAGCUCUAAAAUAGACAUAGGCUCAAUUAAUUGGGAGGUUCAUCUGAAUUUUCAUUCCUAUUCAGGUUUCACUACUAGUUUUCCAUGCCCCAUGAUCGCACACAUGAAAACAGAAAUAUAAGUAAUCUGCACGUGGAACCGCAAAAUUUUAGGUUGGAAGGAAGAAAGGCAUCCCUGUUCAUAUGCUAACCUGAUGCUGAAACUUUUCUCUCUUUGGAUCUUCAAGCCUCCUUUUUCAGUACAGAAGGGCUCUAUUUCUCUGUCCAUCACAAGUCAAACACAAUUAAGAUAUGCACCCUGCAAAAAAUACAGAUUGUUACAGAAAGAAGUAAAAUCUACCUCCUAAUAUACAAGAGAAAAAAAAA